rnacentral:ribozyme from 14 species
UUCCUUUUUGUUUUUUUUGUUUUUUUUCUUUUUUUUCUUUUUCUUG